rnacentral:rRNA from 1 species
UACAGAGGUGGCAAGCGUUGUUCGGAAUUACUGGGCGUAAAGGGCGCGUAGGCGGCCAUCUAAGUCAGACGUGAAAUCCCCCGGCUUAACCUGGGAACUGCGUCUGAUACUGGACGGCUAGAGUAUGGGAGAGGGAUGUAGAAUUCCAGGUGUAGCGGUGAAAUGCGUAGAUAUCUGGAGGAACACCGGUGGCGAAGGCGGCAUCCUGGACCAUUACUGACACUGAAACGCGAAAGCCAGGGGAGCAAACGGG